UUGUACACACCGCCCGUCACACCAUGGGAGUCAGCAACGCCCGAAGUCAGUGACCCAACCGCAAGGAGGGAGCUGCCGAAGGCGGGGCGGAUAACUGGGGUGAAGUCGUAACAAGGUAGCCGUAUCGGAAGGUGCGGCUGGAUCACCUCCUUUCUAAGGAA
rnacentral:rRNA from 1 species